ACGGAAGGCAGCAGUGGGGAAUAUUGGGCAAUGGGCGAAAGCCUGACCCAGCAACGCCGCGUGAAGGAAGAAGGUCUUCGGAUUGUAAACUUCUUUUAUGAGGGACGAAGGACGUGACGGUACCUCAUGAAUAAGCCACGGCUAACUACGUGCCAGCAGCCGCGGUAAUACGUAGGUGGCAAGCGUUAUCCGGAUUUACUGGGUGUAAAGGGCGCGUAGGCGGGGGUGCAAGUCAGAUGUGAAAUCUAUGGGCUCAACUCAUAAACUGCAUUUGAAACUGUAUCUCUUGAGUGCUGGAGAGGUAGAUGGAAUUCCUUGUGUAGCGGUGAAAUGCGUAGAUAUAAGGAAGAACACCAGUGGCGGAGGCGGCUUACUGGGCUCUAACUGACGCUGAGGCACGAAAGUGUGGGGAGCAAACAGGAUUAGAUACCCUGGUA
rnacentral:rRNA from 1 species